rnacentral:rRNA from 1 species
AAGAUGAAAAGAACUUUGAAAAGAGAGUUAAACAGUACGUGAAAUUGUUGAAAGGGAAACGAUUGAAGUCAGUCAUACCAACGGGAAAUCAACCUUUUGAGCUCGGUCUCGUGGGUUUUGAAGAGUUUCAAAGCCUUCGGAUUCGCGGGAUUGGGAUCUCUUGGUGUACUUUUUCGUACGGUUAGUCAACAUCGGUUUUGAAUGUCAUAAAAUGACUGGAGGAAUGUAGCUU